rnacentral:rRNA from 1 species
UGCGUAGGUGGUUUCUUAAGUCAGAGGUGAAAGGCUACGGCUCGACCGUAGUAAGCCUUUGAAACUGGGAAACUUGAGUGCAGGAGAGGAGAGUGGAAUUCCUAGUGUAGCGGUGAAAUGCGUAGAUAUUAGGAGGAACACCAGUUGCGAAGGCGGCUCUCUGGACUGUAACUGACACUGAGGCACGAAAGCGUGGGGAGCAAACA